rnacentral:rRNA from 1 species
AAACCAACAGGGAUUGCCUCAGUAACGGCGAGUGAAGCGGCAAAAGCUCAAAUUUGAAAUCUAGCACCUUCGGUGUUCGAGUUGUAAUUUGAAGAUGGUAACCUUGGGUUUGGCUCUUGUCUAUGUUCCUUGGAACAGGACGUCAUAGAGGGUGAGAAUCCCGUCUGAUGAGAUGCCCAUUCCUAUGUAAGGUGCUAUCGAAGAGUCGAGUUGUUUGGGAAUGCAGCUCUAAGUGGGUGGUAAAUUCCAUCUAAAGCUAAAUAUUGGCGAGAGACCGAUAGCGAACAAGUACAGUGAUGGAAAGAUGAAAAGAACUUUGAAAAGAGAGUGAAAAAGUACGUGAAAUUGUUGAAAGGGAAGGGCAUUAGAUCAGACUUGGUGUUUUACGAUUAUCUUCUCUUCUUGAGUUGUGCACUCGUAUUUCACUGGGCCAGCAUCGAUUCGGAUGGCAAGAUAAUGGCAGUUGAAUGUGGCUUCACUUCGGUGGAGUGUUAUAGCUUCUGCUGAUAUUGCC